AUAUACUUUACAUACGCUUAUUCUUUACAACUAGUUUAAUUUGCAAAACAUUAAGACCAUUUGUAUGAGAUUAUUUUUAUGGCAAUAAAUAAAACUUAAAAAGUACAAUAAAUAUAGAAGAUAAUUUACUUCAAAAAAAAAAAAAAAAAAUAACAUAACAUAACAUAGCAUAGCACAAAAUGAUGAUAUAUGUGUGUGUAAUACAUAAAUAAAAAGUGUUUAAAAAGUGUUUAAAUUUUUUUUUUUUUUAAAUAAAAAACUUAUAAACAUUGGAAUUAUAAUUUAAUUUAAAAUAUUUCUAACUGCUUAACUUUUUUUUUUUUUUUAUAUACACAUUUAUGUGUGAAAAAAAAAAAAUAAAAAAAAAACACAAUGUGAUUAUAAUUAACAUUAGCAUUACAUAUGUGAAGUGUUAAGUUAGUAUAAGAGAUAGGCAAAAUGCACAUAUAUAGAUAUAUGUCUUAAAAUGCAAUAUAUAAUAAUAUGUAAAACUAAGGGAAGUAUAUGAGCCAUUCCAAUGUUUAUUUUUUAUUUUUAUUUUUUUUUUUUUGUUGUCGUAAAAUACAAUAAAUAUUAAUCACUGUAACAUGGGUCAAACGAAUGGAAAAAACCGCCUGAUUAUUCAUGGAACAAAUGAAUGGUUAAUAGAUAAAAAAAAAGAUAUAUCUUUGUUAAACAUAAAAUCUGAUAAACGCAUUAAAAAUGUAUAUAAUGGUCCAAACAAUAUAAUAGUUAUAUAUGAAAAUGAUGAUUUUGAAAUAGCCGGGUUAAAUGCUCAUGGUGAAUUGGGUUUAGGUGAUAAAAUAAGUAGAAAUAAAUUAACGAUAAAUUCUAUACUUUCUAAACAAAAAGUUUUAAAAAUUGCAUGUGGAAAUAAACAUAUAAUCGUUUUAAUGUUAAAUAAUAAUAUAUUUGGUUGGGGUGAUAAUACAAAUGGUCAGUUAGGUAUAGGAUAUAGUACUAAAGAAAUAUUAUCUCCUUUACUUAUUUAUUUUAAUGAUAAGGUUGUUGAUAUUGCAUGUGGUUAUGACCAUUCUUUAUUUUUAACAGAGUGUGAAUAUAAAAAUGAGGGGAUUAGUGACAGUAGUGGAGGGAGUAGUGGAAGUAGUAUUGACAGUAGUAACGAUAGUAGUAAUGACAGUAGUAAUGACAGUAGUAAUGACAGUAAUAGGGAUGACUCAAAGGAUGUUAUAAAAGAACAUAAAAUAAACACCUCGGUUGUAAAGGGGACUACAAAAAAAAACUACUUAAACACAGUUGACAUAAAUGUAAAUGAUGGGAUGAAUAAGAAACAAAAAGAAGAAUUAAAAAGCAGUUAUAUUGACAGUGGUAAUGAAAAACUGGCUGGUAGUGUAAAGAGAAACAGAACUGUUGAUGUCGUAAAGAAAAAAAAAACGAAUGAAUGUGAUAAUAAGAAAAAAAAGCUUUAUUACAAUAUUUAUGCUUGUGGUUCAGGUUCAGGUGGUAAACUUGGAUUUAAAAAUGAAGAAAAUGUUUACUUUCCUAAAAAAGUUGUCAUUAAAAAAAAACGUCAAAAAAAAAAAAAAAUAUUAAAUAUAGAUAGUAUAUAUUCUAGUUACAACUACAAUGGUUUAUUAACAAGUGAUGGUGUGUUGUAUACUUGGGGAUAUAAUAAAAAUAAAGAAUUAAGUCAUAAACAAUUAUUUUAUAAGUUUAAAAAAAUAAAUGUGAAUGAGGAAAAAGUUUCAAAAGUAUGUUUAGGUUUAUUAUAUUCAGCUUGUUUAACAACAAAUAAUAAUUUUUUUAUUUGGGGUAAUGAUAUUAUUGGAAUAAAAAAAAUCAACAUAUCAUCUUACAAAAUUAAAAAUUUUUCAUGUAAUGAAAAUAAUAUUAUUAUAUUAACAGAAAAUAAUCAAUUGUUUUUACUUGAUACAUUUAAAAAAGUAAAAUCAUUAAAUAAGUUAAUACAAAGUAAAAUAUAUAAUAACACACAAAAAAUUAAUAAUAGUUGUAUUCGUUAUAAUUUUGUAGGAGGCGGUAAUAAUUAUAUUUCUGUAUAUAUAAACAUAGAGAAACAAUUAGAGAACGAGAAUGUUUUAGCUACAACAAAUAACAAAAAGGUAACAUUAGAAAAGAUAGAAAAAAAAAAAGACACUACUACUGAUGGUGGUAGAGAUAGUGGCAGUAGUAGUAGUAGUAGUAGUAGUAGUAAUAGUAGUAGUAAUAGUAGUAGUAAUAGUAGUAGUAGUAGUAAUAGAAAUAAUAGAAAUAAUAGAAAUAGUAACAAUAGUAACAUUAGUAGAAACGUGGAAAAAAAAAAUGUACGUCAUGUUUUAUUAAAUGAGAACAAGUUAAAAAUUAUAGAAGAUGUAGAUAAAACAUCAAAUAAUACAGCUAACGACAUAACAGAUGUCUUCACUAAAAUGGCUAGUAACGAUUUUAGUAUUAAUGAAAGUGAUGUGAAAAUAUGUAUUAAUACAUUUGUUAAUAAUAUAAAUAAACAUAUAAAUAUCCAUGAUUUAGAAAGGAUAAAAAAAUGUUCUACUAAAGAUGUAAGUGGUAUAAUACCAAAUAAAACAGAGAUAGAAAAUGUUUGUUUAAAUAAUAAAAGUGAAAUAAAUGAUAUUUUGGAAAAACAACUAUUUGAAACAAUAAAUUUUCAAGAUGUAAAGAAAAACGUGGACGCAUGUGUUAAUUUAAAAAAAAAAGAAGGAGAAGGAGAAGGAGAAGGAGAAGGAGAAGGAGGAGAAAAAAUACAUAAAGAAGAAUUUUUGUUACAAACACAAGAGUUUUGUGAAAAAUCAAAUGAACAAUUGGAAACAAACAAAAGUAAUAAAUUGGUAACCGAAUUAGAGAAAAACAAACCAAAGGAUUUAGCACUUUUAAAAAUAAUUAAUAAUAUGAAUUUUAUUAACAGAAAUAAGAAGCUGCGUGAAAAUAAAAGUAAAUUAAAAAAAAGGGAGAAUAUACUUGUUAAUAUUAAAAACGAAAAUGUAUCUGAUAAAAGUGGUAGUAACAAAAGUGGUAGUAAUAAAAUUUACCAUUGCAACAAAACAAAUAAACAUUAUUUAAAUAUUCCAAAAAUUAGUGAUAAAACUAAUUUAUUAAAUAAAAAAAAUCAAAAAUAUAUUAAUAAUUUAUAUGAUGUGGAAUAUAUAUUAAAAAACAUAAAUUCGAUAAAUUUAAAUUCAAUAAAUUAUGAAAACAUUGCUAUUGAUUAUAAUAUGUUACAAAAUAGAACUAUUGAACAUAUAAAUAAAAAUGUUAAUUUUUUAGACUAUUCUUUGGGUUCUGGUGAAAACAAUAGUAGGGACAUUAAUCACAGCAGAAACAAUAGAGAGAUAUUACAUGCUGAUGAUGUAAUAAUGAAUGGUAACUUGUCCAAAUCCCCUGAUUUGUAUGAUUUAAAUAAUAAAUAUAUUAAUUUAAAUAUUAUUCUAUUAAAAGAAUUGAAAGAACAAAAAAAAAUAAACAUUGUUUAUAGUCAUAUAUUAAAUAAGUUACUAAAAGAGUUAAAUAAUUUAAAAGAUGAAAAAAAAAAAUUAAAAAAAAAAGUAUUACUUUUACAACAAAUUAAUAAUGCCAAACAAUAUAAAUGUAUAUGUCAGAAAACAAAGAACAAAAAAAAAAAAAUAAUAAAUUCAUGUUUAAAAAUAAAAAAUUUUAAUAAUAAUUAUUCUUUAUGUGAUAUUUCUAAUGAAUACGAUAAUGGAAUAAAACAGAAAGUAAACAAAUAUGGUAAUAGUACAAAUGACGAUUGUGGAAAAAGCUAUGACUAUGUUGAUGGUGUUGGAUAUAUAGACGGAGUUAUUGAUAACAUGAACACCAUCAGUACUGUUGUGGGUGCAAGCGGACAAAAUGAUAAAAAUAUAAAGAACAAUAUUAAAACUUUUUCUUUAAGUAAAAAAAAUAAAUUAAAAAAAAAUAAAAAUGAUAACAAACUCCUAAUACCAAACAAUUUAUCAAUUUUGGGUAAAUUGGAGCCUAAAUUAGUUAUGAAAAAAAAAGAGAAUUUUGAAAUAAAUAACAUACCAAUUUUUUUCUUAAAUAACUAACUACUUAGAAAAGAAACUAAUUAGAAAAGAAUAAUAAAAAUAAUAUAUAAAUAAUUUUUCUCUACA
ensembl:lncRNA